AACGUAGACGGUUGGAUAAGUCGGAUGUGAAAGCCCCGGGCUCAACCUGGGAAUUGCAUUCGAGACUGUUCAGCUAGGGUGCGGAAGAGGGAAGCGGAAUUUCCGGUGUAGCGGUGAAAUGCGUAGAUAUCGGAAGGAACACCAGUGGCGAAAGCGGCUUCCUGGUCCAGCACCGACGUUCAGGUUCGAAAGCAUGGGGAGCAAACAGGAUUAGAUACCCUGGUAGUCCAUGCCAUAAACGAUGAGGACUAGACGUUGAGAGGGUAAGCCUCGCAGUGUCGUAGCUAACGCGCUAAGUCCUCCGCCUGGGGAGUACGGCCGCAAGGUUGAA
rnacentral:rRNA from 1 species